AUUAAGAUUGGAGGGUAUU
rnacentral:piRNA from 1 species